rnacentral:rRNA from 2 species
ACGAACGCUGGCGGCGUGCCUAAUACAUGCAAGUCGAACGAACUCUGGUAUUGAUUGGUGCUUGCAUCAUGAUUUACAUUUGAGUGAGUGGCGAACUGGUGAGUAACACGUGGGAAACCUGCCCAGAAGCGGGGGAUAACACCUGGAAACAGAUGCUAAUACCGCAUAACAACUUGGACCGCAUGGUCCGAGUUUGAAAGAUGGCUUCGGCUAUCACUUUUGGAUGGUCCCGCGGCGUAUUAGCUAGAUGGUGGGGUAACGGCUCACCAUGGCAAUGAUACGUAGCCGACCUGAGAGGGUAAUCGGCCACAUUGGGACUGAGACACGGCCCAAACUCCUACGGGAGGCAGCAGUAGGGAAUCUUCCACAAUGGACGAAAGUCUGAUGGAGCAACGCCGCGUGAGUGAAGAAGGGUUUCGGCUCGUAAAACUCUGUUGUUAAAGAAGAACAUAUCUGAGAGUAACUGUUCAGGUAUUGACGGUAUUUAACCAGAAAGCCACGGCUAACUACGUGCCAGCAGCCGCGGUAAUACGUAGGUGGCAAGCGUUGUCCGGAUUUAUUGGGCGUAAAGCGAGCGCAGGCGGUUUUUUAAGUCUGAUGUGAAAGCCUUCGGCUCAACCGAAGAAGUGCAUCGGAAACUGGGAAACUUGAGUGCAGAAGAGGACAGUGGAACUCCAUGUGUAGCGGUGAAAUGCGUAGAUAUAUGGAAGAACACCAGUGGCGAAGGCGGCUGUCUGGUCUGUAACUGACGCUGAGGCUCGAAAGUAUGGGUAGCAAACAGGAUUAGAUACCCUGGUAGUCCAUACCGUAAACGAUGAAUGCUAAGUGUUGGAGGGUUUCCGCCCUUCAGUGCUGCAGCUAACGCAUUAAGCAUUCCGCCUGGGGAGUACGGCCGCAAGGCUGAAACUCAAAGGAAUUGACGGGGGCCCGCACAAGCGGUGGAGCAUGUGGUUUAAUUCGAAGCUACGCGAAGAACCUUACCAGGUCUUGACAUACUAUGCAAAUCUAAGAGAUUAGACGUUCCCUUCGGGGACAUGGAUACAGGUGGUGCAUGGUUGUCGUCAGCUCGUGUCGUGAGAUGUUGGGUUAAGUCCCGCAACGAGCGCAACCCUUAUUAUCAGUUGCCAGCAUUAAGUUGGGCACUCUGGUGAGACUGCCGGUGACAAACCGGAGGAAGGUGGGGAUGACGUCAAAUCAUCAUGCCCCUUAUGACCUGGGCUACACACGUGCUACAAUGGAUGGUACAACGAGUUGCGAACUCGCGAGAGUAAGCUAAUCUCUUAAAGCCAUUCUCAGUUCGGAUUGUAGGCUGCAACUCGCCUACAUGAAGUCGGAAUCGCUAGUAAUCGCGGAUCAGCAUGNCGCGGGUGAAUACGUUCCCGGGCCUUGUACACACCGCCCGUCACACCAUGAGAGUUUGUAACACCCAAAGUCGGUGGGGUAACCUUUUAGGACCAGCCGCCUAAGUGGGACAGAUGAUUAGG